UUGUCGGAGUUUGUUUUUGUAAGCAAGCUUCUUUUUCGCUUGAUCAAAAUUGAUCUAUUCCUCUCAGGUAAGAAUCGAAGCCCCUUUGUUCAUUGUGUAUGUUGUAUUGUGGCCUAUACUUGCAAAAUGAUAUUUUGUAUCAAAUGUGGUAUAUAUUUUAUCUUAGUUUUAUGAUGAUUUAUUAUAAACAAAUGAACUAUGUUGCAGUGAUAUUUGUUUAUGAUGUAAUCAUUGUGUAUUUUAAGAUAAAAAGUUAUAAACAACUGAACUAUGUUGCAGUGAUAGUUGUUUAUGACCCAUCAUUUGUAUACUGUAAUGUGGUGCUUGUACUUGCAAAUCUGAUAUUUUUCAAAGCAAAUGUGCCAUUUUAUCUUAGCUUAAUGAUGAUUUGUUAUAAACAAUUGAACUAUGUUGCAGUGAUAGUUGUCUAUGAUGUAAUCGUUGUUUAUUUAAGAUAAAAGUUAAAAAGAACUGAACUAUGUUGCAGUGAUAGUUGUUUAUAACCAUCAUUUGUAUUGAUUUGGUUAAUGUUUUAAAGGAUAAUAUAUUUUGUACAUAAGUGUAGGUAUUAUCCUUUUUUCAUUUUUUUUAUGUAUAUCUAUGCAUGUUUUAAUAUAAUGAUUGAAAGAUACCAUGAUGAGAUUUAUUUGUAAUAGGCGUUAUGGUUAGAUAUGCAUGUUAUGUGGUCAAGAUUGGGUUCAACCCUGGUAUCUACACAACUUGGGAAGAAUGUGAGGCCCAAACAAAAUAUUUCCCGAACUCAUCUUUCAAGGGUUGUCAUUCGUUUGAUCAAACGAAAGCUUUGUUUAAUGACUACAAUAGAAAUGGGGUUGCAUUAGGUGUUGUCCAUCAUGAGAGAAAACAAGUUCCCCAAGUCGGUCUUUCGCGUCCACUUGAACCAGUGGUUGCGCAACAAGUACACAACCCUAUUGAGCCACGCAUUCCACAACCUGUUGCAUUGUUUCCAACUGGACUUCUGCCUCAAUCAAAUUAUAUGGGAUUGAUCAUGAAGUUGGUGGUUGUUGUGUUAUUUCUGAUAAUUGCAGUAUUGUUGAAGUUGUUAAUUGUUCUGUAAUAAUUAACACUUGUGUACGAAUUAAUAGUUCGAGUACUUUACAUUAAUUGUUCAAUACAUAUAUAAUUGAUAAUGUCACUUAAUUUUAAUGGAUGGGUUUGUCGAAUGUUAUUUGUUUAGUAUGACAUGUAAUUGUUGGAGGUUUUGUAGAAUGUUGACUGCAGCAGAGCACGAACACCGACGUAGGGUAGUUGUGGUUGCAGUAGUAAUUCUAGCAGUUGACGCUUUCCUUAGACACAGCGGUUGGUAUAGAAGGUCAAAGAGAAUCCCUAGGUUGGCCUACACUUACAAUAGGAAU
rnacentral:lncRNA from 1 species